AUCAGUGGUUAUAGCAAGAGGGAUCGCCUGAUACCAUUCCGAACUCAGUAGUUAAGCCUCUUAGUGCCGACGAUAGCAGAGAUGCGAAAAUAGGGCGCCGCUUUUU
rnacentral:rRNA from 1 species